AGUAAACGCUGGCGGUAGGCCUAACACAUGCGAGUCGAACGGCAGCACAGUAAGAGCUUGCUCUUACGGGUGGCGAGUGGCGGACGGGUGAGGAAUACAUCGGAAUCUACUUUUUCGUGGGGGAUAACGUAGGGAAACUUACGCUAAUACCGCAUACGACCUACGGGUGAAAGCAGGGGAUCUUCGGACCUUGCGCGAUUGAAUGAGCCGAUGUCGGAUUAGCUAGUUGGCGGGGUAAAGGCCCACCAAGGCGACGAUCCGUAGCUGGUCUGAGAGGAUGAUCAGCCACACUGGAACUGAGACACGGUCCAGACUCCUACGGGAGGCAGCAGUGGGGAAUAUUGGACAAUGGGCGCAAGCCUGAUCCAGCCAUACCGCGUGGGUGAAGAAGGCCUUCGGGUUGUAAAGCCCUUUUGUUGGGAAAGAAAAGCAGCAGGUUAAUACCCCGCUGUUCUGACGGUACCCAAAGAAUAAGCACCGGCUAACUUCGUG
rnacentral:rRNA from 1 species